CCAAUAGCGUAUAUUAAAGUUGUUGCAGUUAAAAAGCUCGUAGUUGAAUUUCGGGAUCAAUACGUCGGUCGUGCCUCUGGUAUGUACUGGUGUUAUUGAUUCCUCCUUUCUGAUGAACCAUGAUGUCAUUAAUUUGGUGUUGUGGGGAGUCAGGACUGUUACUUUGAAAAAAUUAGAGUGUUUAAAGCAGGCCUACGCUUGAAUACAUUAGCAUGGAAUAAUGAAAUAGGACGUUCGAACCUAUUUUGUUGGUUUCUAGGAUCAACGUAAUGAUUAAUAGGGAUAGUUGGGGGCAUUAGUAUUCAAUUGUCAGAGGUGAAAUUCUUGGAUUUAUUGAGGACUAACUACUGCGAAAGCAUUUGCCAAGGAUGUUUUCAUUAAUCAAGAACGAAAGUUAGGGGAUCGAAGACGAUCAGAUACCGUCGUAGUCUUAACCAUAAACUAUGCCGACUAGGGAUCGGAUGAUGUUAAUUUUUUAAUGACUCAUUCGGCGCCUUACG
rnacentral:rRNA from 1 species